rnacentral:lncRNA from 1 species
AGCGAUCAAGCACUACAUGCUGAGGAGCAACAUUUUAAAUAUGUUUCAGUGUACACAUGUGUAUGUUUGCAAGUGCAUAUGCAUGUGUGCAUGUGUGCAUGUGUGUAUAGUAUAUCUCAUUAUCGUAUCAUCACUCUUUAGCUAUCUCUAACACAAGAGCCAAGGGGUUUGGGAGCGUGAACAAAAAAGAGAGAUUUCUAAGAGAGAGGAGAUUGGGCCGGGGUCAUCCGAAAGGGUAAUUAUUGUUAAAUGUCAGGUUAACUCUGAAGGCCUCAGCUCAUCCAACUGAGAGCAGAUUAGCCCAGAUGGAGACAUUUUCAACACGGUUCUGUCUGACCAAUCAGCGACAGCUGGGAUUAGCCAAAUACCUUCUCUCAUCUGCUUGCUCACAGAAAGGGUUCUGUAAAAAGGCCUCAAUGUGAAAGCAUAUUGGGAUUUAAAUGAAUUAUCAUAGUGAGGACCUCAUUCUGAUGGCUACUGAUGUUUUGCUGUUGAUUUUUCAAGCAAAGUGACCCAACCUAGGAAGAAAAAGAAUACUUCCUAAAAGGGCAGAAAUGCUUUCCACUACUGAGGGAACUCAGUGUCCAAAUUAGAAGGAACGCAUCAGUAUUCUGCCUGAGGUUCUGGAUACCAAGCAGGAGCGGCUGCUUGAUAACCCAUGUUCAGGGUAUUAACAGAACAAAACCUAUUGAAAAGGGAUGAGAAGCUUGGAGAUGAGAAAAUGGGGAAAUGGAUCACUGUAAUACCAUUUCUGAACACAAGAUGAAUGAAAAUGUGAGUUAGCAUCCAAGAAGAAGCUGAAGAAGUCCUCAUGUUUAGCAUAUUUACAGUGGAAUUAGAGAAGGAUCUUCAAGACACAGUGACAGACAAUUGGAGAAAGGGACUGACCAAGCAAGUCAUUUAUCAAGUCUUUUGCUUCUGCAGUUCCAAGGAACAUCCACAUUUGCAGCAUAUAUCCUUCACUUAUUGCGGGCCAAAACCCAGGUAAGCUUAUUCAUGUUUUAUGUUGUUGUUGUUGUUGUUUUUGUGUUUUGUUUUGUUUUGUUUUGUUUUGUUUUUAUCACUAUCAAACCGAUGCUACUGUAUAAGAGUAAAUCAUGAUAUACUACUGUUUUUUAUUUCUUUUAAUAGCUCUUCAGCUGAAUUGAUUUGACCUGGAAAACUGAAGACAUACCACAAAAUAAAUAAAUAAAUAUAUUCA